UACGGGGGGGGCAAGCGUUGUUCGGAAUUACUGGGCGUAAAGGGCUCGUAGGCGGCCAACUAAGUCGGAUGUGAAAUCCCCAGGCUUAACCUGGGAACUGCAUCCGAUACUGGAUGGCUUGAAUCCGGGAGAGGGAUGCAGAAUUCCAGGUGUAGCGGUGAAAUGCGUAGAUAUCUGGAGGAACACCGACGGCGUAGGCAGCGCCCUGGCCGUUUUACCUGACGCUGAAGCACGAAAGCUGGGGGAGCGAACAGG
rnacentral:rRNA from 1 species